rnacentral:rRNA from 1 species
UACGGGGGGAGCAAGCGUUGUUCGGAUUUACUGGGCGUAAAGGGCGCGUAGGCGGCGCAACAAGUCACUUGUGAAAUCUCCGGGCUUAACCCGGAGCGGUCAAGUGAUACUGUCGUGCUAGAGUGCGGAAGGGGCUACUGGAAUUCUCGGUGUAGCGGUGAAAUGCGCAGAUAUCAGGAGGAACACCUAGUUGCGAAAGGCAGCUCGCUGGGACGUAACUGAC